CCUACGGGUGGCAGCAGUGAGGAAUAUUGGUCAAUGGUCGGGAGACUGAACCAGCCAAGCCGCGUGAGGGAUGAAGGUACAGAGUAUCGUAAACCUCUUUUGUCAGGGAACAAUGGCGGGGAUGUGUCCCCGGAUGAGUGUACCUGAAGAAAAAGCAUCGGCUAACUCCGUGCCAGCAGCCGGGGUAAUACGGAGGAUGCGAGCGUUAUCCGGAUUUGUUGGGUUUAAGGGGUGCGCAGGCGGUCUUUAAAGUCAGCGUAAAAAACCGGGGGCUCAACCCCGGCCCGCCGUUGAAACUGGCAGUCUCGAGUUGGAGAGAAGUAUGCGGAAUGCGCGGUGUAGCGGUGAAAUGCAUAGAUAUCGCGCAGAACUCCGAUUGCGAAGGUAGCAUGCCGGCUCCACACUGACGCUGAGGCACGAAAGCGUGGGUAUCGAACAGGAUUAGAUACCCGUGUAGUC
rnacentral:rRNA from 1 species